AGCUGGGUGCCUCUGACUUACCAUCUCUUAUAAGGCUACAAUCAAGGUACUGGCCAGGGCUGGAGUCAUCUCAAGUCUGGAAAACCAGUCUCUGAUUUCAGUGAAGUUUUGCUACAUGGCUGUUCUCAAGUCCUUAAAGGAACAACAAAAAGAAAUGAGAUUUCACUGUAGCAAGUAAGAUUCUGGAUGGAUAGAAAGUGAGGGCCAUCAACAUGAUGAAAGUCUGGAUAGCUAAAAUGACAGGUAGUGGACAAAAGACAAAGCCAAUCUAUGAACCCAGGCCAAAUUUUCAAAGUCAUGUAAAAACA